rnacentral:piRNA from 1 species
UAUACUUUGACAUUGACGUUC